GCCAGGCAGGGACACGCCUCUGUGGACACUGGGAGGUUCUGGGACCUUAGCUCCAGACAGGCCGGUUACUUUGUAACCCCCCACUGUGUCCUGCAGCUGAUCCUUCAGGAGAGAAGGGCUAGAGACUGGUGUUCAGGGUCAGUGAGCACAUAAACAGAUGUCCUGGGAGUCAUUUGGGAGAGAAAAAGAGGACAUCCCAGGUUUUUGUGCCCACAGGAAAGACAAUAUCACUCUCACCACAUGAUUGAAAGAGCCAAGUAUGAGAAGAUAAAUGAGGAGACGCUUGGAGAAGUACAGGGGCACCACCAACACUUAAGCCUCCAUCUUCAGGCAAGAAAGUCUGUGAUAUGAAUGAAGGGAUGAGAAAACCAAUGCUCCGAUGAGUGCAGUGACUUCCCAUGCCUGGUAAGUGGCAGAGCUUGGAUUGACCUUCCUGUCUGUUGGAUUCCAAAGCAGAGGGACCUGGGUUCUGUUUUCCCAGCUGGAAUGUCCCCAGCUGCAGGAUGAAGGCUGAGGAAAUGGGGACAUAAAAAGGAAACCUCUUUCUCUGAUGUGUUUUCUCUCCUCCCCCCUUUUUUCAUCCCAACCACAUUAGUUAGCACUUACUACAUCUAUUGUACAUAUGUGAUUCAGGGACAAGUAGGUUUAUUAGCAACAACAUGGGAGCCUUAGGAGGGGGAUACCUGGGCUCUUGAGUGACCUUGGGCAAGUUUCUGCACUUUUCUGGGCCUCAGUUUCUUUACCUACUACAUGGCAAUAAUAAUCCCUUUCCUGCCUUCUUCACCAGGAAACCAUGAGGACGGGGUGUAAAGGGACUGUGUAAAAUGUGAAAUGUAGUGAACACUAAAAGGUGUGUUUGGACUAAGGAGCACCCCUGACCUAGGGCUCAGACCUGUACAGCCACCUCUGUACAGAGGUGAGGGCUCCCUCUCCUCUCUCACCUGGGGCUAGGUUCGGGAGGUGGACAACACUGAGUGGCAUUGAGAGCAUCAACCCACUUUCUUCAGCCUCACCCUCUCCAUGCCUUCUCUCUUAGGCCAUGCUGCAGCCCUGCUAAACUAGUGGAAAUACCCCAAGCCUGCCAGGAGGUUUCUGUCUACUUUGUCUGUGCAGUUUCUUCUGCCUUGACACCCUUCCCAACUUCUCUUCCUGGUGCAUUCCCACUCGUCUUUCAAGACUGACCUUAGAUAUCCCACUUCUAGGAUGCCUCUCCUGACCUGGCUGUAGUCCUCCUACUUCUCUUGAUUGUUGCACCUGCCCCCUGCCUGAGCUCUUGGCCUUCAGCUUCUCUUUUCCACUCAAAGCCCCCAUGGUGCAACCAGCGGCCUUUCCAAAAUGCAAAUCUUGUCAUGUCACUCCCUGCUUAAAAUAACUGGCCAAUGGAAUAAUCCAUCAAUCAGUGCUUCAGGGGUUCCUCCUUGCCCUCAGGGAAGCAUCCACACCUUCAGCUGGGUCUCCAUGCUUGGUCCCUGCUGGUCUUUCCAGCCUCUGCUCUCUUCUGUCUCCUGAUUGCCCUGCACAUGCAGUGCCCUCCAGCCACAUUGCUCUUGUCACUGUAUCUCAGACACACCUCUCUCUAUCUUUGCUCGUCCUGUUGUUUUUCCUGCCCAUUUCCACCUUGUCCACUUGAGGAAGUCCUGCCUAAUCCUUAACACCAGGUCUGAUAUAACCUCUUGGAAGCCUUCCCUAUUGGCCCCAGGAAGAGUCCUUGGCUUCCUCUUCUUCCCUCUCCUGUAUGACUACUCAUGCUUUUGUUACUGUUUGUCGUCUGUUUACACUGAGAGUUUCCUGAGUAGAGACUGUAUCUGACACAUGGUUGUGUCCCCAGCAAUGCCAGGAGAAGGGCACAGAGCAGACAUGUAGGAUAUGUGUUGCUCAUGUGAGUGGCUGAAUGAAUGAAGGAAGGAAGGGUGAAUGAAUCCAACCUUGAACCAUCACUUCUUGGCCAGCCCUAGAACUGCUGUUUCCCAGGGUAAGCCCAUUUGAUAGCCAAAGGGGAAGUAGAAGGGAGGGACUGCUCUAGGAGGGAGAAAGAAAAUCAAUAAAAAUGUAAAUCUGGUUGAGAAAAGCUGUCCCAAGCUGGCUGUGGGGAGAGAUAAGACUGGGCUGGCUGAGCCCUGGCUGACAGUGGAGGAGAGAUUGGGGACAACGGAGCUGUGGCCAGGGUAGGGCAAAGGAGGUGUGUUCCUCCCUCUGUUGUCACUUCCCCCUCCGACUCUGAUGCUCUAUGUGUUUAUGAAAUUUUUUCAGGGACAGAAGGGGAAGGGAGCUUACAAAUCCUGAUCAUCAGGUGUGGUGCCUGUGAGCAUGUACAUGAUCUUACCCGGUCCUCACAGCUUCUGGGAGAUAGGAGCUAGGCAUGCUCAACCUCACUUGCAGGUGAGCAAACUGAGGUGCAGAGAGGUUAAAUCAUUUGUUCAUCGUCACACUGUAAUAAGUGGCAGAGUCAAGAUUUGAUCCCAAGUCUGACUCUCUCCACAACUCUAUAAUCUUUUCACUCCAUUAAGGGCUUUUGACUGGGGACCUGGGAUGCUUAGGAGGUCUACACCCAGGCAUCAUAUGGUCUUCAACCUCUGAAAUCAUAUGCACAAUUGUGUAUAUGUCUCUGUGUGUGUGUUUUGUUUUAUAUUUAGUGGAGAGUCUAUGCCUUUGAUUGGAUCCCCAGAGGUGGUUUUCACUUGCCCCCCAUUGCCUAUACCAUGUUGCCUUCCUGGAGUUGGUGGCCUUUGAGCUGGGCCUGGAAGAUUGGGUAGGACUUUAUGAAGUGGGGAUGGAGAGACAAGCUGUGCGAUGGGGAUGAAGAAGAUAACCCAGGUCAGAGGGAACAGCAUAAGCAAAGGUAUGUGAAGGGGAAAGAAUUCAACACCUCCAGGCAAUGGUGAGGAUGUCGCUGAGUUCUCUUUCACUUAUCUGCAUGUCAGUCAUGACCCCUGGAUGCCAGCUCCUGAUGGGUCAUCUGCCUACCCUAGAACUUCCCAGCAUCUAGCAUCCCAGACCUUCCCAGAGUCUACAAGAAAAGAAACCUAGGCAUCAGGAUGUCAGUUCUGGUCUGAGUCCUGUCCUCUGCUGACUUUACACCAGCACAAUCUAGCAGGGAGACUUAAUGUCUUCUCCUCCCAGCUUCCUGGUACAGUGUAAGAAAGUAAGCUUGCAGAUGCAAAUGCUUGUGGCUCUUCAUUGACCAGAGGCUAUAUUAGGGGAGAGGACUUCCCUGGGACCCCCACAGGGCCUGGAAAACCCCUCUGGCCCUGACUUGCUCCACCCCUUGGCUCUUGACCCAUUUCUCUCUUGGGUAACUCCUGAGUCUCCUCACCAUGUCCAGUUUGGAAGACUUUAGGCACAAGGACCUCGUCUUUUCCUUCAGAUCUUGGCUCAACCAAGAGGCGGACUCACCGUGAUGUGAAUGCAGCUUGAGCAUCCAGGACUCUCCCCAGAUCCAGGGAGGGCCUCAGCGAUGUGUUCACGUUGUCAUAUUUUUAUAAAAUUUGCAAAGGUAAGAUACUUUAACCACAAUCAAAAUUACUAUUUUCUUCCCACUCCAACUUCCCUUGUGUUUCAAUUUUCCUUUAUGUGGGAUAAUUGGAGUGGCCAUGGGCACUUCUGGGAUCUGACCAAGGGGAAGCUGAGUGGGGGACUGAUUUGAGUUGGGUUCACUGGGAUAUGUUUAUGUGGUUUUCUGAAACAGAGGAUAUAUUAAUAUUUAUGUGGUUCUCUGUGUAUAGAUAAAUCAUUGCUAGUAAUCUCUGUGUAGAGAAUAGCUUCUAGGAAUUCUACCCACUGCCCAGCUCACUUGGCAUGGUGAUAUUAAGUUGCCAUAUGCAGAGGUCAUAUCGUGAUAUGAAUGUGUGUCAUGGCACCCAGCCCAGGAAGUAUAUGGGCAGUAGACAAGAAACAGGAGAAACCAGGUUUGAAAUGUACAGAGCCAGAAGCUAGUCUGUGGAAAAUUCUUCUAAUCAUCAGGGGGAGAAAAUGUGUCUCAGAGGUUAAGCAGGGCAGUUAAUAAAAGUAUUACGCAUUUUGGGGGGAUUGUGUGAUGUAUCUGUUUUGAUUUCUUUUCUCAUUAUAGGUAAAUAUAGGUACCUUGUACCUAAUUUUAUAUUCAUAAUUUUGUAUAUUUUUCUUAAAGAGGGCUCCUCAAAUUAUAAAACCUUCAGUUCCCACAAGGUCUACACAUCCAACCUUGGCUCCAUCAUUUAUUUUCUGUGUGAUCUUGGGGAAGUCACUUGUGCUUUCUGAGCCAGUUUCCUCUUCUAUAAAAUGUGAAUGACAAUUUGGACAGGUGAGGAUUCAGAAAUCCUCAUGACCUUAUUCCAUUUUUGAAACCAUUAGUAGACGAAGACACUCAAACAAAAAUUAGACCAGAAUAUAAAGAUUGGAAAAGAUGUAAUAUACAAGCAAUAAUGGUGAGCAAUGAAUCCAGUAAAACCUAAAUCUAAGUUAAUGGAAAUGAUGUGGUUGUUGCAAACCUCUAAUGCAGUUUAUGAAGAAAGAAUUUUUGUAAUAGAAGAGACAUUAUGCAAGAACAAAUUUAAUAAUAAGCUGUAUCUAUAAUUCCAGACUUUUUUUCCCUGCAAAACCUGGGAAACAAGAGGGAUGAAGGAAUAUAAACAUCCUAAAAGCCUCAUAUUGUUGAAGGAGACUUUGAAAUUCUUGGCGUUGAUAGAUACAUGCUCAGAUAUUUAUUAAACAUUUACAGAUACCAACCAGCAAAAUAAAAAGGGAAUUGGAACUUCUGUACCUCCCUUUUCUUUUAUCAUGUGGGAAAGUCUCAAAGCCCUGGCACUGGGAGCUGCUCAGAAGGCAAGGGCCACAUGUGCCCCCAGCUUCCCCCCACCCCCAGCACAGGGCCAGGAAGCCACUGCUGGUGGCUCCCUGUCUGCUGCCUCCCGAGCAGUAGGUCCCAGCGAGGUGGGGUGGUAAUAGGUUGGGCUGGGAGCAGAUUAGCAAACCCUCUCCUCCCCGCAAGGAAAUAACCAGGCCAGAUAAGACUAGCCAUAAAACAAAACAAGGGCUGAUGUAGAAAAGGAUUGGAUCAUAAGACACGAGCAAG
rnacentral:lncRNA from 1 species